rnacentral:rRNA from 2 species
ACGCAGCAACGCCGCGUGGGUGAUGAAGGUCUUCGGAUUGUAAAGCCCUGUUUUCUGGGACGAUAAUGACGGUACCAGAGGAGGAAGCCACGGCUAACUACGUGCCAGCAGCCGCGGUAAUACGUAGGUGGCGAGCGUUGUCCGGAUUUACUGGGCGUAAAGGGUGCGUAGGCGGAUGUUUAAGUGGGAUGUGAAAUCCCCGGGCUUAACCUGGGGGCUGCAUUCCAAACUGGAUAUCUAGAGUGCAGGAGAGGAAAGCGGAAUUCCUAGUGUAGCGGUGAAAUGCGUAGAGAUUAGGAAGAACACCAGUGGCGAAGGCGGCUUUCUGGACUGUAACUGACGCUGAGGCACGAAAGCGUGGGUAGCAAACAGGAUUAGAUACCCUGGUAGUCCACGCCGUAAACGAUGGAUACUAGGUGUAGGGGGUAUCAACUCCCUCUGUGCCGCAGUUAACACAAUAAGUAUCCCGCCUGGGGAGUACGGUCGCAAGAUUAAAACUCAAAGGAAUUGACGGGGGCCCGCACAAGCAGCGGAGCAUGUGGUUUAAUUCGAAGCAACGCGAAGAACCUUACCUGGACUUGACAUCCCUUGCAUAGCCUAGAGAUAGGUGAAGCCCUUCGGGGCAAGGAGACAGGUGGUGCAUGGUUGUCGUCA